UGAACCCUUCUCGACCCAUACCAAUCCCGUCUGAACCCUUCUCGACCCAUGCCAAUCUCUCUCUCUCUCUCUCUCUCUCUCUCUCUCUCUCUCUACCCCGUCUUCGUCUGCACCUUUAAGGAGCACACCUACUGUGCCUACUCCGCCUCUGGCGACUGCACCGCACGCGUCUGGGACGUGCGUGAGCCUGGAUCCACCAUGAUCAUCCUGGCGCACGAGUUCGAGAUCCUCUCCUGCAAUUGGAACAAGUACGACGGCUGCUUCUUCGCCACCGCCUCCAUCGACAAAUUGAUCAAGGUUAAGGAUGCCAGGUCCAUCGGAACUCCGAUUUGGUGCUCAACGACCAAAGCUACGCCAUCACAAAAGCCAAAUUCUCGCCGCACCGGUAAAGCUUGAUGAUGUCGUGCUCGUACGACUUGUCGUUGCUUCAAUACUAGUAAGGACUAGGAACUGGCGACGGUUCCGAUAGCUACAACUCCGGCCUUAGCUAGAUCAAUGACUCUGAAAACUACAUUGUCGUUGCCGUUGAUUACCGCUCAGUGAUUCGUGACACUCUCUCCUUCAAACGCACACAUGAGGCUCCACGAUGAUCUCUUUACCAAUGGGUUUGACUCUCAUCUCAAUUCUCCCAAGUUUUUUUUUAGUCUGGUAUUUGUAGUUGUAGUGAAUUAUAGGUUCUGGAACUUGGAAUUAGAAUUAGGUACUACACCUCUUCAAGCCCGCCACUGAGAUCACCGACUUCGAUCCGCAAAACGAUGAACGAUAUGACGCCAUAGCACUCUGUCGCUUCCGUUUCUCGGUCUCCGAUGCUGUGGUGGGAAAGCGACUGCGAAGAUCACGUUUUCAAGUGAUGGCGGGAAUGGGAAGAAGAAGAAGAAAAAGACCAGGUUUUGGUUGAAGAAGAAGAAGAAAGGAGUAGAGAGAUUUAAUGGUGUGGUAGAGGAGUGGAAGAAAAAGAGUGGGAGAAGAGUUGGUGUUUGCUUGAAGAAGAGGAAGACUGUAGCUUCCAAAUGUGGAUCGUCUUCUGAUUCCAAAGACAGGUUGGUUUAUCAUUUUGCAUGGAAUGGAGUCAAAGAUCUGAUUUCUAGUACAGAGAAGGUGUCUUCUCAGUUUUGUUUAUUAUGGAAGAAAGUUUGGAAGUUGGAAGUUCCUCAUAAUAUGAGAGUGUUUCUUUAACAAGGAUGCAAAAAGUUUCUCCUUGUUCAGUGUAGCUGGUUUCAUGUAAGAUCUCUGAAGAUUCCUCUUAUUGGCAGUGUGGGCUCAUGUGGAAUCAGUAAUUUGUGCGGAAAUGACCUAACAGUUUUUAGUUUCCUAAUAUGGCUGUGGAGAAAUCGGAAUAUCAACCAUCAUGAUGAGAAACUACUGACUCCUAAGGAUUUGGUCAUGGCAGCUGGUAGUUGGCAUUCAGAGUUUGUAGGAGUUAGUCAUCAAUUGACAAUAAUCCCACCCAUUUUGCAUGCACUCAAGCUUUCUAUCAGCCAUCGAAAGUUUUAUUCUUAAAGCUCAAUUUCAAUGGGGCGUGUGAUAAAUGUAGGGGAAUAUAUGGACUGAGAGUGGUGGUGGUUUUAGAUGAGAAGGAUCAGUUAAAAGGUGCUCUGUCAGUCCCUUUAGCAGUAGAAGCCCUUGCUCUGCUUUAUUGAAGUUCUCACUCCAUGUGGAGUCUGCUAAUAUUGAGAUAGAGAAUUAACAUAAGACAUGAUUCCGAAAUGAACUUGAGUUAUGAGGAAAAUAUUCUUGAUGAAGUAAAGCAGGCUAUUGCACAAUUAAAUCAACACAGUUGAGUAUGCCAAGAGAAAGGGCAACAAAGUUUCACACAAGUUAGCGAAAGAGGCUCUCCACCUUGAUCAGCCAAUGUUCUCUUUAGGGUCAGAGACUUUUUGGCUUCACCAGUGUAUUGAUUUGGAUAUAAGCAAUAUUCAGUUUGUUGUGGGUGUGGUGCCCUUUCCAAAUCCCUAUGUGGAAAGGUCUUGGUGAGGCCACUACAUAACCAUUUCCGUUGUAUUUUAUCUGACAGUUCAAUGAAAGGGUGAUUCUAAUCA